GUCUACAGCCAUACCACCCUGAAUGUGCCCAUUCUUGUCUGAUCUCAGAGGCUAAGGAGUGGGGCCUGGUUAGUACUUGGAUGGGAGAAGGGAAUUGUAUUUGUUGAGAGU
rnacentral:rRNA from 1 species